UACGUAGGGUGCGAGCGUCAAUCGGAAUUACUGGGCGUAAAGCGUGCGCAGGCGGUUCGUUAAGUUCGUCGUGAAAGCCCCAAGCUUAACUUGGGAACUGCGCUCGAAACUACUUGGCUAGAGGGUGGUAGAGGCGAGUGGAAUUCCCGGUGUAGCGGUGAAAUGCGCAGAUAUCGGGAGGAACACCAGUAGCGAAGGCGGCUCGCUGGGCCACACCUGACGCUGAGACGCGAAAGCUAGGGGAGCGAACAGG
rnacentral:rRNA from 1 species